rnacentral:tRNA from 2 species
UGCGGAACUGGCGGAAUUGGUAGACGCGCAUGAUUCAGGUUCAUGUGGUGCAAGCCUUCCGGGUUCAAGUCCCGGGUUCCGCAU